GAUUUCUGGUUUGAUGUACCUGUCCCGCCACGGUAACGUGUGUGAGUGACGGAGUAUGUCUGCCAUCCUUCUAGAGAAUGCAAGCUGGCCUUUACUGGUUUGGUUUGUAUCAUCUAGAUCUUUUACUUUGAAAAAAUUAGAGUGUUUCAAGCAGGCGUUUUGCUAUGAAUACAUUAGCAUGGAAUAAUGAGUUAGGACUUCGGUUCUAUUUUGUUGGUUUCUAGGACUGAAGUAAUGAUUGAUAGGGAUAGUUGGGGGUGCUAGUAUUCAGCGGCCAGAGGUGAAAUUCUUGGAUUCGCUGAAGACUAACUUAUGCGAAAGCAUU
rnacentral:rRNA from 2 species